rnacentral:tRNA from 1 species
AAAAAGAUAAGCUAAAAUAAGCUAAUAGGCUCAUACCCUUUGAAUGAGAGUAAAAAAUCUCUCUCUUUUUA